UACGUAGGGGGCAAGCGUUGUCUGGAUUCAUUGGGCGUAAAGAGCGUGUAGGCGGCCAGGUAGGUCGGUUGUGAAAACUGGAGGCUCAACCUUCAGAGGUCGACCGAAACCAUCUGGCUAGAGUCCGGGAGAGGAGAGUGGAAUUCCUGGUGUAGCGGUGAAAUGCGCAGAUAUCAGGAAGAACACCCGUGGCGAAAGCGGCUCUCUGGAACGGUACUGACGCUGAGACGCGAAAGCGUGGGGAGCAAACAGG
rnacentral:rRNA from 1 species